UGGCGACCGGCGCACGGGUGCGUAACGCGUAUGUAACCUACCUAUAACAGGGGCAUAACACUGAGAAAUUGGUACUAAUUCCCCAUAAUAUUCGGAGAGGCAUCUCUCCGGGUUGAAAACUCCGGUGGUUAUAGAUGGACAUGCGUUGUAUUAGCUAGUUGGUGAGGUAACGGCUCACCAAGGCAACGAUACAUAGGGGGACUGAGAGGUUAACCCCCCACACUGGUACUGAGACACGGACCAGACUCCUACGGGAGGCAGCAUA
rnacentral:rRNA from 1 species